CACUCUUCUAGUUCUGCAAAAGGGUUGGAUCCGACGCCUUUUGGAGGCUACUAUAGGCUCUCUUACCCUACUCCUACUCAAUACGUCCACGUCGUGCAGAACGGUAACUUGUCGCUCAGAUCCAAGCUUG
rnacentral:ribozyme from 1 species